rnacentral:misc_RNA from 1 species
UAUGGCAUUUGCAAGCGUUAAUCGGAAUUACUGGGCGUAAAGCGCACGCAGGCGGUCUGUCAAGUCGGAUGUGAAAUCCCCGGGCUCAACCUGGGAACUGCAUCCGAAACUGGCAAGCUAGAGUCUUGUAGAGGGGGGUAGAAUUCCAGGUGUAGCGGUGAAAUGCGUAGAGAUCUGGAGGAAUACCGGUGGCGGAGGCGGCACCCUGGACAAAGACUGACGCUCAGGUGCGAAAGCGUGGGGAGCAAACAGG